AUUUCUUUCAGUGUAUGACGAAAAAAACUAACUGUAAAAAUGUAAAUAAGCGUAAAAUGUACAAUUUUUUUGCCGCCAUACAGCCCCAUAAUCACAGCACAGCGCAGCAGCAUGUUGCACGUGCAUGUGUGUGCCACUUGCUCUCCGAGCUGCUUCCAUAUCGCUGCCUCAAUGCUGUCAAUGUCAAAGUCAUACAUGAUUCCCAACAUGCCAAAGCCAAAGCCAAAGCCGAAAGCGAACAACAACAGUUACAGCAGCUAGACUCUGAUGUUGCAUGCAACGUAUCCAAAGAGCAGGAGCUGGAGCUGGAGCUGGAGCUGAAGCUGGAGCUGGCUACGAAAAUUCCAUGCGCAUAAUUUAUUUAAAGAUUCUCUCUCAAUAUUGGACAAGCAUCGUCGUCGUCGUCGUCGUCGUCGUCGGCGUCCUCCUCCUCGUCCUCGUAGUCGUCUGCAGCUGGCAGCUGGAAAAGCAGGGGCCGGCACCAGGGAGGAAAUGGAAAUUGGUUAGAAGCGAACCCGAAAGGAAGCUGGCGAAAAUUGUUGUGAUUUCUCUCUCUGGGAAAUGCGUUUAAUGUGAUUCUGUUGCGUGCCAUGGACAGGGCUGGGAUUUUAAAUUAAAAAUAAAAGCACAGACAGGGGCA